AUUGAACGCUGGCGGCAUGCCUUACACAUGCCAGUCGAACGGCAGCACGGGUGCUUGCACCUGGUGGCGAGUGGCGAACGGGUGAGUAAUACAUCGGAACAUGUCCUGUAGCGGGGGAUAGCCCGGCGAAAGCCGGAUUAAUACCGCAUACGAUCUACGGAUGAAAGCGGGGGACCUUCGGGCCUCGCGCUAUAGGGUUGGCCGAUGGCUGAUUAGCUAGUUGGUGGGGUAAAGGCCUACCAAGGCGACGAUCAGUAGCUGGUCUGGGAGGACGACCAGCCACACUGGGACUGAGACACGGCCCAGACUCCUACGGGAGGCAGCAGUGGGGAAUUUUGGACAAUGGGCGAAAGCCUGAUCCAGCAAUGCCGCGUGUGUGAAGAAGGCCUUCGGGUUGUAAAGCACUUUUGUCCGGAAAGAAAUCCUUGGCCCUAAUACGGUCGGGGGAUGACGGUACCGGAAGAAUAAGCACCGGCUAACUACGUG
rnacentral:rRNA from 1 species